rnacentral:rRNA from 1 species
GUAGGUGGCAAGCGUUGUCCGGAAUUAUUGGGCGUAAAGCGCGCGCAGGCGGUUCUUUAAGUCUGAUGUGAAAGCCCACGGCUCAACCGUGGAGGGUCAUUGGAAACUGGAGAACUUGAGUACAGAAGAGGAAAGCGGAAUUCCACGUGUAGCGGUGAAAUGCGUAGAGAUGUGGAGGAACACCAGUGGCGAAGGCGGCUUUCUGGUCUGUAACUGACGCUGAGGCGCGAAAGCGUGGGGGAGCAAACAGGAUUAGAUACCCUGGUAGUCCAGCCGUAAACGAUGAGUGCUAAGUGUUAGGGGGUUUCCGCCCCUUAGUGCUGCAGCUAACGCAUUAAGCACUCCGCCUGGGAGUACGGCCGCAAGGCUGA